rnacentral:rRNA from 1 species
GACGAACGCUGGCGGCGCGCCUAACACAUGCAAGUCGAACGGAGCUGAGAGAAGCUUGCUUUUCUUAGCUUAGUGGCGAACGGGUGAGUAACGCGUGAGUAACCUGCCCUGGAGUGGGGGACAACAGUUGGAAACGACUGCUAAUACCGCAUAAGCCCACGAUCCGGCAUCGGAUUGAGGGAAAAGGAUUUAUUCGCUUCAGGAUGGACUCGCGUCCAAUUAGCUAGUUGGUGAGGUAACGGCCCACCAAGGCGACGAUUGGUAGCCGGACUGAGAGGUUGAACGGCCACAUUGGGACUGAGACACGGCCCAGACUCCUACGGGAGGCAGCAGUGGGGGAUAUUGCACAAUGGGGGAAACCCUGAUGCAGCGACGCCGCGUGGAGGAAGAAGGUUUACGGAUUGUAAACUCCUGUCGUUAGGGACGAUAAUGACGGUACCUAACAAGAAAGCACCGGCUAACUACGUG